rfam:Bacillus pseudofirmus OF4, complete genome.
UGGUGGGGUAGAGGCGCGAAUGCAGAUAAGUACACACUUGGAGGAUGACAACGUAGAGAAGUGUGAAAAGGAUCAUUUGCCGAAGUGGAAAAGAGGAGUCAGACCUUUUCUGCUGGGGUUGCAUUGAAGAAGUGUAACACUGUCACAGUCAAUAGACUGUGGAGAACUACUGUUGUG